rnacentral:rRNA from 1 species
UGGGGAAUAUUGCACAAUGGUGGGAACUCUGAUGCAGCGACGCCGCGUGAGUGAUGAAGGAAUUCGUUUCGUAAAACUCUGUUCUAUGGGAAGAAAAGGACUGUACCAUAGGAGAAAGCUCCGGCUAAAUACGUGCCAGCAGCCGCGGUAAUACGUAUGGAGCGAGCGUUGUCCGGAAUUAUUGGGCGUAAAGGGUGCGCAGGCGGCUUUACAAGUUGGAUGUGAAAUAUUGUGGCUCAACCACAAACGUGCAUCCAAAACUGCAAAGCUUGAGUUAAGGAGAGGUAAGUGGAAUUCCUGGUGUAGCGGUGGAAUGCGUAGAUAUCAGGAGGAAUACCGGUGGCGAAGGCGACUUACUGGACUUAAACUGACGCUCAGGCACGAAAGCGUGGGGAGCAAACAGG